UACGAUACGAGUUUGAUCCUGGCUCAGAUUGAACGCUGGCGGCAUGCCUAACACAUGCAAGUCGAACGGAGGUAGGGGCAACUCUACUUCAGUGGCGGACGGGUGAGGAAUGCGUCGGAAUCUACCCUAUGGUGGGGGAUAACACAGGGAAACUUGUGCUAAUACCGCAUGAUGUCGAGAGACCAAAGCAGGGGACCGCAAGGCCUUGCGCGAUAGGAUGAGCCGACGCCCGGUUAGCUAGUUGGUAGGGUAAAGGCCUACCAAGGCGACGAUCGGUAGCUGGUCUGAGAGGAUGAUCAGCCACACUGGGACUGAGACACGGCCCAGACUCCUACGGGAGGCAGCAGUGGGGAAUAUUGGACAAUGGGCGCAAGCCUGAUCCAGCAAUGCCGCGUGUGUGAAGAAGGCCUGCGGGUUGUAAAGCACUUUUGUUCGGGAAGAAAACGGAUCGGUUAAUACCCGGUUCGGAUGACGGUACCGAAAGAAUAAGCACCGGCUAACUUCGUG
rnacentral:rRNA from 1 species